rnacentral:misc_RNA from 1 species
UAUAUAUAUAUAUAUAUAUUUAUAUAUAUAUCUAAUCACAGGUUACAGAGGUGUAUUCAAGCAAUUUUAACCAAAAAGUGGAAAUGUCCGGUUUUGCAUCUAGACCCCUCAUUUGUUUGAUAAUGUGGGUAAUACUCAAAGUAUUACAGUAUGUACUACGGCGGUCCGAUAAGUACUUAGCCUCUAAAAGGAAAGCGAAUAUCUUUGAAAACAGGUGAUUUAUUUUUAAAUACAAUCUCCUUUUAGCUGGAUACAUUUGACCCAGCGAUGUAUCGACUUCUUUAACCCAUCGGAAAAAUACGUUUUCUCGAGGUCCGCAAAAUUGGAUUCCAUGGAGGCGAUAAACACGUCAUUCGACUUAAAUUUCUGCUGGCGAGUGAUUUUCUUACGUUUGGAAUUAAAAAAAGUCGUAAAUUGUCAAAUGCGGAGAAUACGGAGGAUAAUAUAGAAGUUACGAGCCCAAUUUGACAAGUUUGGCUAUGGCGACGGUGGAGGUGUGAGCCGGUGUGUUGUCAUGGUGGAAGAGAAUUUCUUUCCCAAUUGUGGUUGUUUUUUUCUGAAAUUCGGUGUGAAAUCGGUCCAAUAAUGUGGCAUAGUAAAGACCUGUGGCAAUUUUGCCUUCUUCCAGGAAGUUAAUAUAGAUCACACCAUGUUGAUUUCAGAAAAUUGUGGCCAUCACUUUUCCGGUCAAAAGACUUCUUUCGCUUUCUUUAAGCACGUUUGCGGAGUGACGUCCACUGUAACGUUUACAAAAUUAAAAAAACUACAAAAAAAUCAUAAAAAAUAAAAAAAAUAUAAUACGCUCUCACACACAUCACAUACAUACAUAGACCUUACACCACACCCUGCACACUCACCUCACCUAAUACGUAAAACAAACAUAAAACACUAUACUACACUACACUUAACUGUCUAAGAAAAUAUACACUAAAACACCAAACACAUACAUAAUCCGAAGAGAUAACUGAGCACUUGCGUAUGUUCCCUCAGAGCCGCCUAAAAUCACACAGGAUAGGGAGAAGGUAGUUUUCUGUGGUUUCCUACCUUCAUUGCACAAUGAUACCUAUACCUAGGAGAGGACCUAGCCACAGCUAACCUCCACGCGGUUGUCAAAAAACAAACAGAACCAAAAUCUGAAAACAACUGGACUUUGGUUUCCGUUGCAGACUUGGUACCAACACUAGGGGAAAAAAAGAAAGAAAACCCAAGAAGAGCUCGUCUGGUGGCGGUAGCAUUGAUGCGACUGGCGCUCUUCCGUUGAAUGUCAUACGAUCCCCAUUCCAAUCCAAACUAGUCCCCUUUCCGUGAAGAGUUGAAGAGGCGGGAAAGCCUAAACGCGUCUUAACCCUAGACGGACCAAGGGGGUUAAAAAGUAUCCACAACAUUGCAUUACACCCGAUUGUCUAAAUACCUUUGUUCCUAAAUAUCUCAUAUAAUUAGUAGUUGUCGGCGUACUACUUUCUGCCCUAUUAAAUGCCAUAAUCAGCAUUUCUAUCAUUUUUCUCAUACUUUUAUAAAAACUUGAUGAUGGACUAUGAAUAAUCCCCCUUAAAUACCUUCAACACCAUCCAGAAUGGAAAGGGACGAUGCCAUUCAUGUUGCAAAUUAAUAGCAAAAUCUAAAAGAACAGGGAAAAAUAAGUUGGAAAAAACAACCAUAGUUUGUUCAAAACGCCAGAAGUAUGUAUGUGGUAAGCACAGCAAGUAAUCAAAUGUUUCUGUUACGAUGAUGCCAAUUCCCUUGAAGCCGAAGACUCCGGGUAAAUUAUAAAUUCUUAUGUUUUAACUGUUCCAUUAAUGUCCAGGAAUAAGUUUUUUAUUUGUAAAAGUAUUAUUUUUGAAUUGGUUUAAAAAAAGCACGUUUUUUAUUAAUUUAUGUGUGGACAUUUAUUGACCCUAUUGGUCCUCGAUGUUUCUCCGAAAGGUUGGUCCUGCAAGGGUUAAAUAACGUGUCUUCUUGUUGUUCACUGUAUCGACUACUCCUUAGUCUCUGGUGAGUACCGGCUGAUCCAUGUUUUGUUGACGGUUAUGAAGAAACGUAGAAACUUCUUUCGGAUUACGCUUAAUCAGCCUCAGACACUGCUCUGAACUGGUCUCAUGGUUGCGCUUGUUUGCCGGAGUGAGAAAACGCGGCGCCCAUCGCGCCGAUAGCUUUCCCAUGCCCAAAAUUUCAUGCAGGAUAUGAUCUAUGUGACAUUUUGGGUUUCCCACUCUGCCCUACUAGGAAAAAAGACCUUAAGUCCAAAAAAAAAUUGAGAUAAGGUCAUAUUAGGGUUUUAUAGGUGGUUUUAUACCUUUUUUUGAGGUUAGAAAGCGGUAGCUCCACUUCUUCAAUGAGAAAAACGCUAAUGAAAUAUGCCUUAUGUCCUAAAUUGUCUGCCAUUCUAGUGAACAAAGCCUCAACUGCAACUUUUGAAUAAAGAAAGCCUCAAGUUACAGUCGUUUUUGACUUAAGGCUUUUUUACUUCAAAUUUCUAUUAUUGCAAGAGAAAUUGGAACCACGCCUUAACUUACAUCAGAUAAAAGAAAGCCUUAUAUCCACUUGCCAGUGGAGUUAAGGUUUUCUUUUCUCUGAUGAGUUUCUUUACAAGUGGCUUUUGAUGCUGUUUUUCACUAAAACUAACAGGUGUUUCUUUUAUGCUCAGCUGUUUCCCUCCAUUAUUAGGUAUAUUAUUUUGACAGUGAUUACUUAGUUACUAACCUCAAUUAUUCAAGAAGAGUGUUUUGUUAUGGUGUCGUGGGUUGUAUGAAAGUUUUACGCUUUUUUUUUGUGACAUACUUGUGACUUGAUCUUGUGACCUUGUGAACUUAUGACAUAAAUUAAUUUACAACGUGACAUUGGACAUGUGUAGUUCAAGAUCAAGUUAUAUUUUGAGUUUAGUGAAGGAUGUAAAAAAUCGAAACGAAGAUGAUCCUGACGAUCCGUUGCCGCUAGCAGCUAUUAUGUCAACUUCAACAACUACUCCUGUUGUUAACUUUGAUUUUAAUAAUAGUGAGGAGCACGACAACAGUCUUGUUUUAACUCAGCUUUCACCAGUUCAACUUACUAAUUUCGACAAUAAUUCAGGUUCUCAUGACCUCGACGUUCAGGAUGGCCUAGGCGUAGGGAUUGUUCAGCCUAUUAACUUAUUGCCAGAAAGCGAAGACCAUCCUGCUGAAAAUAUACAACCGAACUUGCAAAAAGUUAUUAUGUUGCCUAGGAUGGAAGGUUUCAAAACUACCGUUUUUACUAAACGCAUAGUUGCAUUUAAUGAAAGUUUUGUGCCCCUUGGCACUAACUGCAAAAAUGGUAGGCCAAUUGCAGUAAUAUGGCAUGAGGCCAUAUGUGGACGAAAGAAGGAGGACAUAAUUAGUUCCUUUGAUUCAUUUUUCAAAUAUUUCAGAGAUGUUCCCCUCAUAACACUCUGGCUUGACAACUGCUCCGCACAAAACAAGAAUUGGUGCCUGAUGACCUACCUUGUUCACAUUAUUAACUCUUCGGAGUCAGCCACUCAAACCAUUGAACUGUACUUUUUUGAACCAGGGCACACAUUUAUGUCGGCCGAUUCUUUUCACCAUCAAGUAGAGUUGUCUCUCAGUCGCCAUGGCAAAGUAUAUGACUUUUCAGACUUUGAGAAUGCUGUUGGAGCAACUUGUUCUGGGAAAACAGUGGUCAAAUCAAUGCAGCAUGAAGAUUUUGCAGUAUGGCCUUCUUGUGUCUCUAACUACAAGCUGAAUAAAUUUGUGAAUCGACCCUACCUGAAUGAUUUAGUGUACAUCAAAGCCGAACGUGGCAAAGAUACAUUGUUGUACAGACUUUGCUACGAUGAAUAUUGCCCCCUUCAGGAACUAGACUUUAUGACCAAAAAGGGAGCUGAAAAGGCGAAGAGCCCCCCUAUUUUCCGAACUGCACCUCGAGGCAUCUGCUCGGCGAAGAAACAAGAUAUUAUUACAAAACUGCUUCCCUUGAUGCCUGAAAAUAGGAAACGUUUUUGGUUGGACUUGCCUGAAAGUGAUGUUCCAGACUUGUGUGUUUCAGACGACAUCCCUAGUUGAGAAAAGGGUGUGUGUGUUCCUAACUGUAAAACAUAUUUUUUUUGUUUUGGCUUAAACUUUUUUAUGAACGCAUUGUUAUAUUAUAUAGAUACAGGUCUCAAAAUUUUAUUCAUUUUUAAUGUUGACACAAAUCCUUGCUAAAGUUGUUUUAUUCUAAUAACUUAUAAUCCUGUAUUUUUAAUGUAGCAUACCUUGAAUUUUAUAGGCCUAAUUACAAUAGUUUCACUCUAACUCAAGCUAAAUAUUAUGAUUUUUUUGUUGAAAUACGUUUGUGUAUAUUUCAAUUAGCAAAUAAGCACUAUUUAACUUUUUAAGAAAGCAUUAUAUUAUAACAAACAUUUUCAAACAAGACUAUUAAAUGUAGUUUUAGAUUUCAAUUAAUAAUAGUAAAAUGUUUUCUUUCUUAAAUAGUCCGUCUCUAAGUAUAUUUUGAGUAACAUUCUAUGAAUAAAUUUUGCAAAAACUCCUGGGUGUUUACCUUUUUUAAACCCUAAAUGUUUUUUUAGUUUUAAAGUAAAAUACAUAAUGAGCCACCAUGGGAGUUAAGGUUUUUAUGUUACGGUUUGCACUACUGUUUGGAGGUAACAAGGCCUUAAGUGCAAUUUUUAUGCCCAAAAAAAGCCAAAAACAAUUUUUUUUAAC